rnacentral:rRNA from 1 species
GACGGAGGAUGCAAGUGUUAUCCGGAAUCACUGGGCGUAAAGCGUCUGUAGGUGGUCAAAUAAGUCAACUGUUAAAUCUUGAGGCUCAACCUCAAAAACCGCAGUCGAAACUAUUAGACUAGAGUAUAGUAGGGGUAAAGGGAAUUUCCAGUGGAGCGGUGAAAUGCGUAGAGAUUGGAAAGAACACCGAUGGCGAAGGCACUUUACUGGGCUAUGACUAACACUCAGAGACGAAAGCUAGGGUAGCAAAUGGG